rnacentral:lncRNA from 1 species
CAAAAAUUUUCUGAGUCAACGAAGCUUUUUUUGCCAUUUACUCCACUAUUCAAUUUGAGCUAAUGAUUAUGAAAGUCUACUUCCUCAAUAUUUGCUGGUUUUUCUCCAGAUUUGGUGGAUGGAAGAUGGCAGAACUUUUUGUAAAUUUCUGGCCUUUAUUUGUCAGCAGCCUGUUGUUCAUUGUUUUUCUUGUGAAAUAUAAGAAAUAUGGUAGCAGUACUCGAGAGAAGUGUAAGUUGCCUCCGGGAGGAAGAGGUUGGCCGAUUGUUGGCGAUAGUAUCAGUUGGUACAAUGCUGUUGCAAGUUCUCAUCCGCCUAGUUUCGUCGAGAAACAGGUUGAAAGGUACUUAAUUACAAAGUUCUUCUUUGUUUCUUUGUGGUUUUAGUCAUAGAAUUUACCAAUGUAGAGAAACUAAUAUCCUUAAAAGAGUUGAAAUAUUGUCAACAGGUUCGGAAAAAUAUUCUCGUGCAGUCUGUUUGGUAAACAGGCGGUGGUAUCAGCUGAUCCAAUGUUUAAUCGAUUUGUAAUGCAAAAUGAAGGCAAACUAUUCCAGUCGUGCUAUCCAAAAUCUUUCAGAGACUUGGUGGGGAAAAAUGGGGUGAUCACAGUACAAGGGGAGCAUCAAAGGAAGCUUCAUUCUAUCGCCUCCAACCUGAUGCGGUUAGACAAGCUCAAGUCCCAAUUCUUGCACGAUAUACAAAUAGUUAUGCGCGAAAUCUUCAAUAAUUUGCACGACAAACAAGUCAUUCUACUGCAAGAUGUCUGUAGAAAGGUAAUACCAUAUUCUGAGUUUAUUCAUUUCUAUUCGACCCCUGUAUAGUAUACUUCUGCCUACUUUGAUUCUAUGUUCUUAGCGUUAAAUCAGUAUACAUGAUCGAGAAUUUCUAAUUUUCAUUUACCUUCAGAUAGCCAUUAACUUGAUGGUUAAUCAACUGCUGGGUGUGUCGUCUGAAUCAGAGGUGAACGAGAUUGCUCAGUUGUUCUCUGAUUUCGUUGAUGGUUGUCUUUCCGCUCCUAUCAAUUUGCCAGGAUUCUCUUAUCACACUGCAAUGAAGGUGACAACUUAAUUUACCAAAUAACAUUUAAACUCAUUAGACCAUUUGAGAUUCUGAAUUGUACCGUUCCUAAUUUAACAUAACAGGCACGUGAAAGUAUAAUAAGCAAGAUCAAUAGUUCAAUAAAGAUCCAUCGAAAACAAUCCUCUCCAGCAAUUGGCAAUGGUGUACUGAGAAGGCUACUAGAGGAAGAAAGCUUACCUGAUGAUGCUGUUGCAGACUUUAUUAUUAACCUCCUUUUUGCUGGCAACGAGACGACUGCUAAGACCAUGCUUUUUGCUGUUUAUUUCCUCACUCAAUGCCCCAGAGCCAUGAAGCAAUUGCUGGUACAGACAGAUUUUCUUUUUGAAUUUGUAAGUCUUUCUAUUAAGAUCAGGGAAAAGGGCGUCCUUUUCUUUCACUGACUUCCAGCACUUUUUUUUACUUCCUUCUGCACUUGAGAAUAGGAUGAGCAACAGAGUCUAAGGAGCCAAAGGAGUAUCUUGGAUGGAGAGAUGCUCGAAUGGCAAGAUUAUAAACCUAUGUCUUUUACUCAAUGUGUAUGUCAUCUGCUCUCGUCUUGUCUCUCCACCAUAAUUUUAGCCUCUUAAUCUAAGGCAUAAAUUUUCUUAUUUAUGCAUUGAACUGUUUAAGCAAUGUUCAAACAAUGAUAAUUGAAAAGGUGAUACUACGAUUCAAGAAUUAUCAAAACUCAAGACCCUUUUAAAACUAAAGUCUAAACCUUCGACUAGCAACUUGUUGCGACCUGCCCAGAAUGCAUGUCCCUUUAUUUUACCUUCGUACUGUUGAUAAUAAUGUAGGGCAAUCUGAAUACUUUAAUGAACUCCAAGGCACGAAAUGAAAUGUUAUCUUUUAAGAGAUGUUUCUCCCCUAUUCAACAAAGUCACAACGGGGUAUAAUAGAAAAUCUCUCUCAGGAUACAAUGGAGGCGUUUGAUUCAAAUUGUGAUCAAACCAAGAAGACACUCGAAUAUAACUGAUUGAUGCCAAGAGAAAGAAGGAAAAAUAAAUUGUUUUUAAUGUGUUUGCAAAUGAGAAUUCGUCCAGAAUUUAUAGACACUGAGGCAACUGUUUGAAUAGGUGUAUCCCUUGGAAGUGACUGUUAAAAAAUGAAUAGAUGCACCUAUUCAAAACUUUUGAAAAAUAAAAUUCUCUUUUGGGGGCGUUGCCCCCGACCCCCCACGGGGGGCGCUGCCCCCUCGACCCCCGCGACUUGACCGGGUAGGUCGAACCUUGUUGCGCAGUGGCAAACACUAAUCCGGGCGGCAAAUCAUUCGCAAAACAAAAAAUUAAACACAUGCAAAAUGAUGAAAAAUAUCUAACACGUACGACCAAUUCUUUCCUUUGCUUCUUGUGCAUUCGGUUAUCUAAAGAUACCUCACAAGUUGUCAUGGUAAAUUUUUACUUUAUCCUUCCAACAGGUAAUAGAUGAAACUCUUCGACUGGGAGGCAUUGCAAUUUGGUUGAUGAGAGAAG